rnacentral:rRNA from 1 species
UACGUAGGUGGCAAGCGUUAUCCGGAUUUAUUGGGUGUAAAGGGCGUGUAGGCGGGAGCGCAAGUCAGAUGUGAAAACUCAGGGCUCAACCCUGAGCCUGCAUUUGAAACUGUGUUUCUUGAGUGCUGGAGAGGCAAUCGGAAUUCCGUGUGUAGCGGUGAAAUGCGUAGAUAUACGGAGGAACACCAGUGGCGAAGGCGGAUUGCUGGACAGUAACUGACGCUGAGGCGCGAGAGCGUGGGGAGCAAACAGG